rnacentral:rRNA from 1 species
UACGGAGGGAGCUAGCGUUGUUCGGAAUUACUGGGCGUAAAGCGUACGUAGGCGGUUAUUCAAGUCAGAGGUGAAAGCCCGGGGCUCAACUCCGGAAUUGCCUUUAAGACUGCAUCGCUAGAACGUCGGAGAGGUAAGUGGAAUUCCGAGUGUAGAGGUGAAAUUCGUAGAUAUUCGGAAGAACACCAGUGGCGAAGGCGACUUACUGGACGACUGUUGACGCUGAGGUGCGAAAGCGUGGGGAGCAAACAGG